GACGAACGCUGGCGGCGUGCCUAACACAUGCGAGUCGAACGGAAAGGCCCUGCGUUUGUGUGGUUCUCGAUUGGCGAACGGGUGAGUAACACGUGAGGAACCUGCCCUUGACUGUGUGAUAACUUCACGAAACAGGGGCUAAUACCCGGGAGAAUCUUCUGCUGCAUGUUGGUGGUUGGAGAGUUUCGGCGGUUGUGGAUGUACUCGCUGCUUAUGAGCUGGUUUGUGGAGUAGUGGCUUACCAAGGCUUUGACGGGUAGGCGGCAUGUGAGUGUUGACAGCUACCAUGGGACUGCGAUACGGAGCAGAAUCGUACGGGCGGCAGCAGUGGGAAAUCUUGCACAAUGGGGGGACGUGAGAUGUAGCAGUGUCGCGUGCGGGAUGACGGGCUUUGGGUUGUAAACAGAUUUCGAAUGUGAUGAAGAGUGCUUGACGGUAAUGGGUAAAGAAGCAACGGCUAACUACGUG
rnacentral:rRNA from 1 species